UACGAAGGUCCCGAGCGUUGUUCGGAAUCACUGGGCGUAAAGGGAGCGUAGGCGGUGCGGUAAGUCAGAUGUGAAAUCCCGGGGCUCAACCCCGGAACUGCAUCCGAUACUGCCGUGCUUGAGUGAUGGAGAGGUAGCUGGAAUUCACGGUGUAGCAGUGAAAUGCGUGGAUAUCGUGAGGAACACUCGUGGCGAAAGCGAGCUACUGGACAUUUACUGACGCUGAGGCUCGAAGGCCAGGGUAGCGAAAGGG
rnacentral:misc_RNA from 1 species